AGUCGAACGAAGUAGCAAUACUUAGUGGCAGACGGGUGAGUAACAUGUGGGUAUCUGCCCUUUGGCCUGGAAUAACACGAGGAAACUUGUGCUAAUACCGGAUAAGUCUUUACGGAGAAAGCUUUAUGCACCAUUGGAUGAGCCCGCACUUGAUUAGUUUGUUGGUGGGGUAAUGGCCUACCAAGACUAUGAUCAAUAGCUGAUUUGAGAGGAUGAUCAGCCACAUUGGGACUGAGACACGGCCCAAACUCCUACGGGAGGCAGCAGUGGGGAAUCUUGCACAAUGGAGGAAACUCUGAUGCAGCGAUGCCGCGUGAGUGAAGAAGGCCCUUGGGUUGUAAAGCUCUUUCGUCGGGGAAGAAAAUGACUGUACCCGAAUAAGAAGGUCCGG
rnacentral:rRNA from 1 species